AGUUUUCACAAUAAGGAUACAGAGCCCCCUCUUCUAAUUAUAAGUUGAAGAAAUUUGUAGACAGAAUCGAACCUUAAAUAAUCUGGCCACCACUGAGCGA